UACGUAGGGUGCGAGCGUUGUCCGGAAUUACUGGGCGUAAAGAGCUCGUAGGUGGUUUGUCGCGUUGUUCGUGAAAACUCACAGCUUAACUGUGGGCGUGCGGGCGAUACGGGCAGACUGGAGUACUGCAGGGGAGACUGGAAUUCCUGGUGUAGCGGUGGAAUGCGCAGAUAUUAGGAGGAACACCGGUGGCGAAGGCGGGUCUCUGGGCAGUAACUGACGCUGAGGAGCGAAAGCGUGGGGAUCAAACAGG
rnacentral:rRNA from 1 species